UACGUAGGGAGCAAGCGUUGUCCGGAAUCAUUGGGCGUAAAGCGCGCGUAGGUGGCCUCAUAAGUCCGCUGUGAAAGUCAAAGGCUCAACCUUUGAAAGCCGGUGGAUACUGUGGGGCUAGAGUACGGAAGAGGCGAGUGGAAUUCCUGGUGUAGCGGUGGAAUGCGCAGAUAUCAGGAGGAACACCAAUAGCGAAGGCAGCUCGCUGGGACGUUACUGACACUGAGAAGCGAAAGCAUGGGGAGCGAACAGG
rnacentral:rRNA from 1 species